rnacentral:tRNA from 1 species
GAGAGAGGCCCAGAAGCAAAGAAAACUGCUAACUUUCAGUCCCUUGGUUAAAGCCCAAGGCUCACUCG